GUCUACAAGGAAAAGGCGCUUAAAAAUUUCAUGCCACAUAUUAUGGAUUAACAUUAAUCUAUAAUAAAUCCUACACAACCUCCAUUUUCAGACUGACAUGCGUGCCAAAAAAAUCUGCAUCAGGUGACACGACGGAAAAGGAGAGCUCUGAAGCAUCCAGAAUCCCAGAAAGGUCCCAGGUUAGUGAAACAGAUGGAGAAGAAAGUUUCUUUAUGUUGGUUGCCACUGCCCUCCCCGUCCAUCAUUGGAUCUAUGGAAUCACUCUGUAAUGAAAACCAGUGCUGUGCAGUGUUAUAAAUACAGUAUCCAGCAGGAUCAGAGUUCACUGAUGCACAUGCUGUUGAAUUUUCUGUUGAGGCAGCUGCACUACUAGCAAAGCAAAACAUCUUAUUUUGUUCCAACAUGGUGAAACAUAAGGACUUUGUACAUGAUUUUUCAUUUUCCACAAAUGAUGAUGCAUCACUGGCAUUACAGUUAUCUCAGAGGUGGUAAUGUUUCCCUGCAUAUCUCUGUAGAAGCCAAGGAUCGGUGCUGUUUCAUGUGGAACAAUGAAGUGCAUGAUGCAAGGUGGUAAAUGUGUGGAGUGCUGAUAUUUAUUCCAGGAUUCAUGAACUGAGCCAUUUAUUUGGGUUUUAAAUAGUUGCUUGGCUAAUACUAUUGCUCACAGGCAAUUUCAAAUAUGUGUUUUUUAGGUAAUUGAGUACUAUGGGGUUUUCCCUCUAACAUUUUUUGUGUGUGUGUGAAUAAACAAUGUACCCUUGUUUACAAGACUAACACUUAGAUGCUAAUGACUACAGUAAAAGAGAAUUCCCAGUGUGCUGAAAGCAGUAUUCAUAGGCAGAGAUCAUAAACAGUCAGGUGGCUGAAAUAGGGUUGCAGAAAACAUUUGUUGGAUAGUUUGACACAACAAAUAGUGUUGUGAUAAUGAAAGUUGCUCUGCAUUUGAACAGCAUCAUAUUAAUUCAGCUGGGUCAAUCUGGCUCCAAACCCAAAGAGUCUCUCCACAUCUGGAACUUCUCUACCCCAACUGUGGUGUCACCUAAGGGGCUGAAGGAAGUUUCCUGGGCUCCCAUGAGCUCUGUUACUGAAGGAAGAGAGUUGGUGGUGUGUUUGCAGGGGAAAAGUGAGGAAGGGCCUAUUGGGGCAGAAGGGUGCUUGCUGUGCCUUCUCUCCUCAGCAUGGACCAGACUAAUAGACUAAUGUAUAUUAGUCAUGAUUUCUGGUAUGAAGACUGUACUACGAAUUUUAACAGUGAUUAUAACUGCAAGACAGAGUUGGGCUGUGGAUCUUUCCAGCCCAAUAUUCUAUCUGUAGCAUUGGGUGAGAACAAAUGCUUAGGGAAGGGCAGAGGCACAAAAAGAGUGGUCUUUCCCUGGCUAAAGCUUCACAGCUGUCAGCAGGUUAGGGAUUACACAGUACAGACUCAGCUCAGCAGAAGAAUAAAAUAUCCAGAAAGAUCCCAUGAACUGGACAUCUGUAGAGUCUUUAUGACAGUGGAGUGAUUACUUUUCUUCCAUCAGAGGUCAGUUCAGGUAAAGCAGUAGGGUUUGUCACGCUCUAGAGUAAGAGGAUUUGACUGGGUCAUAAAUAACUCACUACUGUGUAAUAUUAGCAAUACAGCAAUGUAUAGGUCCUUCAAGGGAAAGAGCCUGCUAUUUUGGGAUGUAUGUACACCGCUAAUGGGAAAUCUACCCCCAUUUGCACUGUGGCUUAGUUUUACAUUCACAAGAUUCUAAUACAUUUGAAUCAAGAACUGAUCUGUCUUGAGUUGAUCACAGCAGAAGACAAAGGAAAUCAGAGGAUGAUCAUUCAAAUAAGGAUUCACCAUGAAACUGUCUUCCUUAGUGAAAUGACAAGAGAAUGAAGAAGGGGAGGAAUGAUCCUAUAACAUGUGAUAGCCAUCACCUUUUGCAAUUGCUGUGAUGCUGUGUGCUCUAGCUUUAAAUGCAUAGAGAAUGUUUGGUGCAAAGCAUGCUUGCAGCCAUCGUGUUUGAAGAUGCAACUGAUACACGAUGUUAUAGGAGAUACAUGGAUGUGCAGUUUUCCACUCUUUUGUUUUGUUAGUGUGGACACCUGGGAAGUUAAGGAUUCAUGAGGAUUAGGGAGAAAUGGCUGCACUGCUGUCAGUGAGACUUAUAUCCUGACUUUAUUGAAAUCAGUGGUCAAAUCCAGAAUUUAGGAGGCUGUUUCUUAAAAAUAGAGCAAAAAAUCCAGUUUGAGAUUUCUGUUUGCUAACCUCGUGCAAAUAUAAUUCUUUUACAUGAACUACUGUCAUACGUCUAAGGCAAGAGAAUAUCAGGAUAGUUUUCCCCAGUGCUCUGUGAGAGUUCUUCAUCAGCUGAAUUUUAUCUUUGUCACUGAUCUGUUUUUCAUCCAGGAUUUUUCUUUACCAGAGUCUGAUAAUUAUGCUGACUGGUUUGGUGACUAUUUCUGUGGGGAUCUAAAUUAAGAGCACUGUUAUUCUUCUCACUUGCGACUGCAGUAUGUUUUGAAGCUGUAAUGGAAAUUUGGUGCAUUAAACGAAUACCUCUGUGGAGGGGUUGGGAGGGGGAACAGGACCAAGGCAUUAACUUUUUCCAGGUUAUUUGGAAUUCACAUUCACCAUUAAAUUGGAACACUGCACUGAGGCUUGGGAUGCAGGAUAGCAUAUUGGAAAUGACCUCAUAACAUCCUGCCUUGCUGAGCUUGGAUAAUGUUAAAGCAAUAUGGAACUGAAGGAGAAAAAGACAGUUACUUCACUGCCUGGGCUGGGAGUUACCAAACGCUUGCCAGCUUUGACUUCUGGAGGAGAGAUACUGCCAUCCCAACCGACCUUCUAAUGACAUUGUACUGUUUGGGAAGCAGAAGAAUCGUGAUCAUCCUUAAGAAACAGCACUGUAGAAAAUGAGCGACAAUGAUUUUAACACAAAGCUUUCCUUCAAAGUAUCUCCUCCUUCUGAGAUUAACUGCCCUUAUCGUCCUUGUGUACUGAUUUUGUUCUUAAAUAUUUUGAGUUCCUUAUGACUCUGAUUUUUCAUCCAGGCAUCUUAUUUUUAAAUAGCUGAGUGUUAAGGACUUGCAGUUAUCAGAGGCAAGCAGUGCCAUAAAACAAUAGGAAAAUUAAUUGUAAGAGAACAUGAAGUAAUUCAGUCAAGCAUAAUAGCCUUAGGGUGGGUGAGCACCAAAGUGCAAGUGGACGUGUUGUGAUUCAUCUGCCUACUUUUAACAGCUACCAUUCAAAUUGGAUUUAAAUACUGUAAACACGAGUCUUUUUGUGGUGUGAUUGGAACUGUAAUACAGCUGCAAAGUUCCAG
rnacentral:lncRNA from 7 species